GUGCUCGCUUCAGCAGCACAUAUACUGAAAUUGGGAUGGCACAGAGAUGAGCAUGGCCCUUGAGGAAGGAUGACACAAACUUGUGAAGCUUUCCAUAUUUCU
rnacentral:snRNA from 1 species